UUCUUGCUCUACAAUCAUAACCUAGGAAAAACCAGGCCAUACAGAGAUAGGAGCUGAGGGAACAUAGUGAGAAGUGACCAGAAGACGAGUGCGAGCUUUCUGUUAUGCCCGGACAGGGCCACCAGAGGGCUCCUUUGUCCAGCAGUAGCGCCAGCAUCUGGGAAGAUGCCCGUUGCCAAGCAGACCCUGGUCUAGCGGUAGCGUCAGUGUCAAGGAAAAACACCUGCUACUUAGCAGACCGGGAAAGGGAGUCUCCCUUUCCCCAGGGGAUUUUAGAGAAGACUCUACUCCUCCACCUCUUGUGGAGGGCCUGACAUCAGUCAGGCCCGCCUGCAGUUAUCCGGAGGCCUAACUGUCUCCCUGUGAUGCUGUGCUUCAGUGGUCAUGCUCCUAGUCCACCUUCAUGUUCCAUCCUGUACACCUGGCUCUGCCUUUUGGAUAGCAGUAGCAAAUUAGUGAAAGUACUAAAAGUCUCUGAUAGCAGAAAUAAUGGUGUAAGCUCUCUCUCUCUUUCUCCUCUCUCUCUCUCUGCCUCGGCUGCCAGGGAGGGAAGGACCCCCUGUCCAGUGGACACAUGACCCACGUGACCUUACCUAUUAUUGGAGAUGGCUCACACUCCUUACCCUACCCCUUUGUCUUGUAUCCAAUAAAUAUCAACACAGCCUGGCAUUUGGGGCCACUACCGGUUUCUGCAUCUUGGUGGUAGUGGUCCCCUGGGCCCAGCUGUCUUUUCUCUUAUCUCUUUGUCUUGUGUCUUUAUUUCUACACUCUCUCAUCUCCACACAUGAGGAGAAAACUCACUGACCCUGUAGGGCUGGACCCUACAUACUCAUAUCCAGAUUUAUUUUCUUACAGUGCAAACACACCAGAUGGAACUUCUAAAAUGUUGCUUUCUAUAAGUUUAUCAUCUAUGAGUUGCAGUAAUUUGUUUGUUUGCUUGUUUGUUUAACCACAAUCACUAUUUUAAUGAUAUACUAAACAUAAUACUAUUUAGUUUUUUCAGAAACAUCGGCAUUGUAUGUGUGUUGGUUGUGGAUUUUGUUUCUAAAAUUGGCUUAGUCCAAUAAAGAAAGAAAAGCAUUAAAGACUUAAAGCAAUGAUAACCAAAUACAACCUUGAUAAAAUCUUUGAAGUCUAUUUAAAUAUUCAUUCCAUUACAUCUAGACUCACCAAAAACUGUAUGUCAUGAUAUUCUUAAGUCGAAGUUGAAACAUGAUGUUUCACAUUAAAUUUAAGAUAUGCAGCUUGGCGAGGUGGCUCAUGCCUGUAAUCCCAGCACUUUGGGAGGCCAAGGCAGAUGGAUCAUGAGGUCAGGAGUUGGAGACCAGCCUGGCCAACAUGAUGAAACCCCAUCUCUACUAAAAAUGUAAAAAUUAGCUGGGCAUGGUAGUGCACGCCUGUAAUCCCAGCUAUUCAGGAGGCUGAGGCAGGAGAAUUUCUUGAACCCAGGAGGCAGAGGUUGCAGUGAGCUGAGAUUGUGCCACUACACUCUAGCCUGGGUGACAGAGUGAGACUCCAUCUCAGGAAAAAAUAAAAUAAAAACAAAUAAAUUUAAGAUAUGCAAAUUUAAAUAGAGAAAAUAAACGUUAUAUACCCUAUAAUGUUAUUUCACCUAAUUAGUACUUAAUUAUAUGGAUUUAUUUUAUAUUAUAAAAGAUGUUUUGAUUUUUUCUUUUGAUAUUGACAACAUUGUUUGGAUAUUCUUAUGUUGUCAAGGCUGCACCUGCCUCCCCUGCCUUAUUUCUUAUGUUUUGCCACAGUUAACCCAUUGUGCUUCUUUGUAAUCAAACGGUUUGGGGAGGGGGGAGAAAGGGCUUACUGAAUGUCUAAAAAAACAAGUUUAAAGUGUUUGUUACCCAAAGUUUGGUGCA
rnacentral:lncRNA from 1 species